GACGAACGCUGGCGGCGUGCCUAAUACAUGCAAGUCGAGCGAAGCGGCGGAUGGGUGAGUAACGCGUGGGAAACCUGCCCUUAAGUCUGGAAUACCAGCUGGUAACAGAUGCUAAUACCGGAUACUAAAGGAUGGACCUGCGAUGCAUUAGCUAGUUGGUAAGGUAACGGCUUACCAAGGCGAUGAUGCAUAGCCGGGUUGAGAGACUGAUCGGCCACAUUGGGACUGAGACACGGCCCAAACUCCUACGGGAGGCAGCAGUAGGGAAGAUUCCACAAUGGGCGAAAGUCUGACGGAGCAACGCCGCGUGAGUGAUGAAGGUCUUCGGAUCGUAAAACUCUGUUAUUGGGGAGGCGGUACCUAAUCAGAAAGCCACGGCUAACUACGUGCCAGCAGCCGCGGUAAUAC
rnacentral:rRNA from 1 species